rnacentral:rRNA from 1 species
UAAUACGGAGGGUGCAAGCGUUAUCCGGAAUCAUUGGGUUUAAAGGGUCCGCAGGCGGUUAUAUAAGUCAGUGGUGAAAUCUCUCAGCUUAACUGAGAAACUGCCAUUGAUACUGUAUGACUUGAAUUUGGUUGGAGUGGGCGGAAUGUGUCAUGUAGCGGUGAAAUGCAUAGAUAUGACACAGAACACCGAUAGCGAAGGCAGCUCACUAGGCCAAUAUUGACGCUCAUGGACGAAAGCGUGGGAGCAAACAGGAUUAGAUACCCUGGUAGUCCACGCCGUAAACUAUCAAUACUCGUUCUCGGCGAUAUACAGUCGGGGACUAAGCGAAAGUGAUAAGUAUUGCACCUGGGGAGUACGAUCGCAAGGUUGAAACUCAAAGGAAUUGACGGGGGCCCGCACAAGCGGUGGAGCAUGUGGUUUAAUUCGAUGAUACGCGAGGAACCUUACCAGGGCUUGAACGUAGGAGGAAUUA